CCCCUAGUAACUGCGAGUGAAGCGGGAAAAGCUCAAAUUUAAAAUCUGGCGGUCUUUGGCCGUCCGAGUUGUAAUCUAGAGAAGUGUUAUCCGCGUUGGACCGUGUACAAGUCUCCUGGAAUGGAGCAUCAUAGAGGGUGAGAAUCCCGUCUUUGACACGGACUACCAGUGCUUUGUGAUGCGCUCUCAAAGAGUCGAGUUGUUUGGGAAUGCAGCUCUAAAUGGGUGGUAAAUUCCAUCUAAAGCUAAAUAUUGGCGAGAGACCGAUAGCGAACAAGUACCGUGAGGGAAAGAUGAAAAGAACUUUGGAAAGAGAGUUAAACAGUACGUGAAAUUGCUGAAAGGGAAACGCUUGAAGUCAGUCACGUUGGCUAGAAAUCAACCUUGCUUUUGCUGGGCGUACUUUCUGGUCAACGGGUCAGCAUCAAUUUUGACCGUUGGAAAAAGUUCAGAGGAAUGUGGCAUCUUCGGGUGUGUUAUAGCCUCUGUUCGCAUACAAUGGUUGGGAUUGAGGAUCUCAGCAGGGAAAAAA
rnacentral:rRNA from 2 species